AUGUUUUAGUUUUCAAACUUCCAAUUUCCUUUUCAUUUCCUCGCUGACUCCACCAACUCCACCACCACCCUGUUCCACCGUGCUUAGCUAUUUAUCUAGGGUUUUCUUAACUCGUAUAAGACGUAACUAACUCUUAUCUCAUAUAAUAAUAAUUGAAGAAAAGAAGAGAAAGAAUAUAAGAAGUUUGCAGUUCAAGUGUUCGACGUUUUGCCCCAACUAAAUCAUAAACGUAAAUUUCUCUUCUUUGUCUCUUUCUACUCUUACCCUUUUCGGUUUUUAGUUCAUUGGAAGUUGGGAAACUGAAAAAAGUUUGAAUUUUUAAGGUUGUUUGUGACUUUGUUAACUGUAUGCUCUGAGCUUAAAGGAAUCUUGGAAUUGACUAUAUUGUGGGGAGAAUAAAGUUGUUCUUAUUUUAUUUUAUUUUGAGAUUUUUGGGGUUACUUUUUUGGAGUAAAGCAGAAGUUUUGACUGGAGUUGAAGCUAGUUGAUCCAUUGUUAUCACUUUUUGUGGUGAUAAUUCUUCAAUUUCAAGUGUUGGGUUUUUUGUUAUAAAAGAUUUGAGUUGCAGUGUUGAAAAGGAGUAGUAGAGACAAAAUCUAUUGUUUUUUUGAGUUGAGUGAUUGUAUUGAAGUUAUUGAGAUGGAUAAUUCAGAUAGGUCGUUCAAUAGGAAUCCUGAUCAUUUGGGUGUGAAUAAAUUUGGGAAGAAUAUCAAGAAGAGUCCUAUACACCAACCCAAUUUCAAUAACAAUACAAAUAGUGCUGCUAGGCAACAACCUCAACCUCAACCUCAACCUCAGGUUUACAAUAUUAACAAGAACGAUUUUCGGAGCAUUGUUCAGCAACUUACAGGUUCACCAUCUCAAGAACCUCCACCUAGACCUCCCCAGAAUCCUUCUAAGCCUCCUAGUAUGAGAUUACAAAAGAUACGGCCUCCGCCUUUGACUCCAAUAAAUCGUCCCCAAAUUCCAAUCCACCCUCACCGUCAAGCACAUAUCCCUGCUCCAGCUCGACCUGUAGGAGGCGUUCCUUACCAUAACAAUAUGGUAAGACCGCCUCCUCACUAUGGUCAGCCCUCACCACCUAUGUUCCCACCAACACCUGGAGAUGUAUGGACAAAUACAGCUGAGUCUCCAAUUUCAGUUUAUAUGCGCUAUCUUCAAAAUUCAAUAAUAGAUUCAGGGCCUAAACAAACACAAUAUCAAGGUCCUGGUCAUUAUCAAGCACAUCCAGCAUCAUCUGGCUUACUUCCUAAUCCUUCAAUGCCACCUCUUCCAUCUCCUAGAAUGAACGGCCCACCUCCUUUCCCGUCCGCGCGGAUGAAUGGCCCUCCUCCACCUCUUCCAUCUCCUAGAAUGAAUGGCCCCCCUCCUCUCCCGUCUCCUAGGAUGAAUGGUCCUCCUCCGCCUCUUCCUUCCCCCGGAGUAAACGGCCCUCCUCCUUUGCCUUCACCUACUUCUCAGUAUCUUUUGCCGUCACCCACUGGUUUCUUGAACUUGUUAUCUCCACGAUCCCCUUAUCCAUUGCUUUCUCCGGGUAUGCAGCAUCCUCCACCACUGACACCAAAUUUCUUCCUCUCUCCCAUGGCUCAGCCUGGGGGUUUUGGCGCGGGGCAACAGUUUCCUCCUUCGCCUGGUUACGGAUUUCCAUUGUCACCUUCUGGGUUCUUUGCCAUGUCAAGUCCAAGAUGGAGGGAUCAAUAGCGCCACGAAGAGAGCUCCUGACUUUGGGUUGCUCUUUUGAUCUGAUUCUUUGCUUCGAGUUUUGUCAAGGUGGUAGAUAUCCUUCAAUUGAAGCCUUUUCCCUGUGGAUAUGCACUGUAUACAAUAGAAAAUGUGGUCUGGUGCUAGUGGAUCUGGACUUUUUUUCCCGGUGCGUUAUUCACUCAAGAACGUUACUUCUUGAUUUUCUGAUUGGCUGAGCUGCACAGUUUCUGGGGGAAUGCAUUCUUUCCAGUUGAUUGACAGGUGAAACAGAUAGAACUAUUAACUUUAUAAUUUUAGAGGAAAAGAUGAGGAGGGGGGUUUGGAGGUGGAAAGAGCUAAUGGAUCUGAGUAAUUGUAAAUGCAGUUGCUAAUUCCAUUGAGUAUAUAACAAUCUAUUUAAUCAAAUUAAAUGAAUGUCUUUGGUUAUAGCAGAACACUGGAUAUUCUUGUCUGGAGUCGCUCUGACACUGAUGUUUUUAAAUGUGUCCACCUUAUAAAAAGAAACGAUAUCCCCUUGUACACUAUGUGCCUGUAUGUCCAUUGUAGGUGCCGCAUGUAUAUGUUGGUGGGGUAUUCUAUCACCAUUUUAGACCAGCUGAAUAAAAAUUAGGGAUAGGAACAAUGUUUAGACCUAAAACAUUUCAGAUUUGCAUAAGUUGGUGAAGUACGACCCAAGACAAUUAUGCUAGGUGAUCUCUCAUAUGCAGACUGUUGAGGUUUAUACUCGCCAUUUUUUUGGAGAAGUGAGAGCACCUGAAUGUUUAACAUCCCAAAGCUGUGAAUCUGUUUACAGCUGCAGAAAGCUAUUCUGCUGAGGCCUGAGAGUGCUAUAAAUUCAUUCCUAAAGGGUGUGAGAUUUUAUAAUGUAAGUCCACAUCUGCUCAUAUUGUUGGGAUCUUUUGGAGCUUAUCUUUAUCACUGCAAUUGACAAUUACUACCUUCUAUCUAAUACAUUUUUUUCUCAUAUACACUGCACAGAUACAUGUAUUAUCAUACGUCGACAGUAGUUUCAGAGUUUUUUCUUUCAUCCCUUUAGCAUUCUUAGGAUACUAAUUGCAGUAAAAUGUUCCUGGGAUCUGGUACUUCACGAAUUGUUUCUGUUACAUUGCUGCUUGUAUCCAGUCACUUGAACUUUUCCGCGUUAUUUUGGUCCUGUUUUGCGGCUAUCGUUUGCUGUCUUGUAUCUGUGGGUGAUUUUCUUGUCUAUGGAUGUUCUCUUGUUUCAGUUGAAUAUUGAUAUCGUUUUUAGUGGCUGCUACCUUGUAGAAUCUACCUGCUUCAUCUAGUUGGGAUAUAGCCUUUUCGAGGAAAAAUCCCAGGUUCAGAGUAUUGAAUGAGCUUUUGGCUUUAUGUUGGCAAGUUUAUCUUAGCCCAUAGAAUGUGUUCCCAUUGCAGAUAAAGUCAGGAUACUGAUUUGUUUACUCCUACUUGCCUUAAAAUAAACGGUUUGUUAGGUCUUUUACUUCUGGAUUCACGCACCACAGUUAAAAAAGGCAAAUGCAUUGUGAUUACUUGUUCAUCAAGUUGGUGCUAACUGCCAAACUUGUUUGCUGAGUGCUUUCCUCAUUGCAAAUAUUUGUUUGUGUCUGCAUAUGGAAAAAUGAGUUAAUUUGUUUGUCUGCUGGAAGUAGACGGGUGGUCUGUUGCAACUUUUGUCAAUGAAAAAAUGCACAUCUAAAAACUUAGUACUAAGUUACCAUAGUUAAGGCUGAAAAAAAAAAUUAAGAAUUUAAGAUUUGCAAGAUCAGUGUGAUAUCACGGUUCCAAAUUCAGAAAUUCCUUGUUACUAUUGUCCAGUGUGACCUUUUUUACUGAAAAAAAAAAAACUAAAAUAAAACCCUAUGAAAAGAGGCCUACAAAUCCAGCAGGGUUGGGACUUAGUAGCUCAGUUGGUUGAUUACCUGAACUUUCACCUUGUUGGUGAGGGUUCGAAUCCCCACAUUGUAAUUCCCUCUACUCCUCCCUAUGUAAUAAAAAAAACAAUGUAAAAAAAAAAAAAAAAAAAAAAAAAUCCAGCAGGUAUUUUCACGGAAUAGCUUCUUUUAGGAUCAGUGUUUAUUUUUUGCCUCUAUUAAGAAAAUUUGUAAAAAUAGCAUUCUGCCGGCAUUUCUCUUCUUCUCCCUCUUCAUUCUUCUUCUUCUUCUUCUACUUCAAUGUAGAAAAAGAAAUGGACCUUGGCCUAAUUCAACUCAAAAACUAGUUCAUGAAAUAAGAAUUGUUAAGACCGUAUAAAGAGACCAUCCAUUCCAAACCAUUGAUGUUGGACUCAUCAAAUGUGUUGUAGAAAAUUGAAGAUUUAUACUCAUUUAUGAUUGAAUAUUGAGUAGAUAAUGUUCCAUUGAGCUUAUAUUAUCGAUCCUCAAUGAUUUGGAUUGAUUUGGUUGGAGAAAAUUGAAGAAUGUCAUCGUGAGAUUAUUGAGCUUGAAAAAAGAACUUGUUGAAGAAGAUAACGUGAGUCUAUUCAUUUUUGACGGUUUAGGUUGGAUCUAACCAUUAAAAAUUAUUGGGAAUGGUAACAGAAUGUCACAUAUCGAAUUUGGAGUUGAUUAGG